UGGGGAAUUUUGGACAAUGGGCGCAAGCCUGAUCCAGCCAUGCCGCGUGCGGGAAGAAGGCCUUCGGGUUGUAAACCGCUUUUGUCAGGGAAGAAAUCUUCUGAGUUAAUACCUCGGGAGGAUGACGGUACCUGAAGAAUAAGCACCGGCUAACUACGUGCCAGCAGCCGCGGUAAUACGUAGGGUGCAAGCGUUAAUCGGAAUUACUGGGCGUAAAGCGUGCGCAGGCGGUUUUGUAAGACAGAGGUGAAAUCCCCGGGCUCAACCUGGGAACUGCCUUUGUGACUGCAAGGCUUGAGUGCGGCAGAGGGGGGAUGGAAUUCCGCGUGUAGCAGUGAAAUGCGUAGAUAUGCGGAGGAACACCGAUGGCGAAGGCAAUCCCCUGGGCCUGCACUGACGCUCAUGCACGAAAGCGUGGGGAGCAAACAGGAUUAGAUACCCUGGUAGUCCACGCCCUAAAACGAUGUCAACUGGUUGUUGGGAAGGUUCCUUCUCAGUAACGUAGCUAACGCGUGAAGUUGACCGCCUGGGGAGUACGGCCGCAAGGUUGAAAACUCAAAUGAAUUGACGGGGUCAUAGCUGUUUCCUG
rnacentral:rRNA from 1 species